CGGCGCAAAAUCCGGCUCACGGCACGUGAGAUAUAACCUCGUUUACUCGCACUCACUAAACAAAGCAGUCAGAAUCUCGAGAGGAGACGCGUUUAGGAGAAGCACACUUGAAUCCGCGUAUCCGUGGUAGAUUAGAGAAUUUCCUGAUCGACAUUUGAUUCUUACGAGUAUGUACGAUCACAACACUGCGGAUCACUCACUACUGAGCAAUGAGACAGUGAGUAGUAGUAGUAAGGUUAGGGUAGCAUGAGCACGCAAUGUAUAUGUAUAUAUGUGACACGACGCGGCACUACUUUUCGUUAGUCCGGGGAAUGCACUCCGAAAACAACGAUAAAUAAUAACGGUGACAAGACGGACGCGCACACUCCACACGAUGGUCGGCGCGGCAAUGAUUCCGGGUACAUUGGCUCGCUGCAGUCGGCGAUGGUGGGGGGGACCCCAAGUUCCACGACGAGGGGGAAGACGGUACUACUACGCGAGUGUUGGUUGGAGGGAUCGGUGGUGCGGUACAGAGAGGGAAAAAGAAUACUUAUAAGCGAGACUGUGAGAGAGGUAGGUAGCAGAGGAGAUACAUAGUAAAAUGAUGGCUGAUUUGGAGGAAGGGGAUAUGUAGGAUAGUUUCCAAGGGGGGCAGCAGAGCGAGCGUCUCGGAAGGUUGAGGCAAACGGCCAUUUCUCAUUUUUUUGAAUAACACGUUUUCCAUUUAUGGACUAAACUGUUUAGUAACGUUGUAAUUUCGUAACGUAAUGAUCUCUUCGAAUCACGAUAAUUGAAGACGGAAUAGGAAAAAGUCACGACGGAUGUAUCUAAGGUAGAUGGGCGGGACCGCGUACGAAUUGGAUGAGAGAAGAAGAGAGAGUGGGAGAUGAGAGAAAGGUAGAGGAGAGGAAGAGGCGCAGUGGGGAAUUGGAGUCUGACUGUGUAAGGAAGAGGAUGGUUCAGAAGGGUGGUUCCGGGUGCCACCCCCCUCCCCUCAGAUGGGUGUUAUAGGGGUGCAGGAUGAUGAAACUGAAGCUCAAAGGGCGACAUUGCGAAAUGGUACAAGAGAUCGAGACCGAAUCGCAGAGGAUGCUUUCUACAGUAAAAAAAUUUCCAGGGAAAAAUUGAAGCAUGACAGAAGCGCUGGAGUGACUGUAUAAAGUCACAAGGAGACUAUUUCGAAAAGAAUGCAGGCAAAUUAUAAAUAAGGUAAGCCUAACAUUUUUUAUAGAGUAAGACCGGAAAAUUUUCGAUAACACAUCGUAUAUAUAACAGCGGAUUCUGAUUCGCGAUGGCUCGACAGGCUGAUCAACUGAUUGUUUCGAUUGUUCACUUCACUAUCCGACUUGAUUUUUUGGCGAAUCUCUUUAUAGGUUUGUGGGCGGUCGUUCAGUCAUAGUACCUGGUUCGGUAUAAUCCCGGAAAUUGUCGUUUUUGCAGUCAACUCGUGAGAAUAAAGCCCAGGUGCAAGCGAAGAAGUCCAAAGUCGAAUUUCUUUGCUUGCAGAUUUUCGCAAUCUUGAUUGCUGACUUCACGAUUCGCGCGGUGAACGUCCCCAUUUAUUAAAUUAAAAUUGAAAUAAAAUUGUGUAUGUCAUAUAUACUUAGGCUAUAACAAAAGCAAUCAUGUAUUUUUUGUAUCAAUCAAUUCAUCUCAUCUCAUUUAUUGUAAAAAUAUUAGUUAUCGUAAUGUGAAUACAUUACAAAAUACACAAUACACAAUCACCUAAAAUGUUUUUGGAAUAUCCGAAUACCCGGAUAUUACACUCGGGUACUCGGAUUUGGAUAUUGACAGCACUAAUUCAUAUCUGUGAUAACGAUUUUUUAAACUUUGAUGCCAUCGAUACACGCUAGCUUGUCGCGUAUAUGAAUCGAUUUGUUACUGAUUCGUCAGCAUUCAAAGAUCAAUAAGCUCGACAUCUCUGCUUUUCUUUCAAUAUUCUUUCACAAAGUAAUAAAUCACGUUCGGCGAAUGUUCGAUGUUUUCCAUUAUCUUCCAAAAGUCAAAUUCGAUAAAUAUCAAACAUAAUGCAAAAAUUCAUCCGCGAAAAUCAGAGCAAAACGAGCUUACAUCGUUUUAUUAAAGUCCAUUAAAAUUAUAUCAAUAAUCAAUUUUUUUAAAUAGCAUACACACAUGUGAAUUGUU